rnacentral:rRNA from 1 species
AGGUAAGCUACUAAGAGCGAAUGGUGGAUGCCUUGACUGGUAAAGGCGAUGAAGGACGUACUAGACUGCGAUAAGCUACGGGGAGCUGUCAAGAAGCUUUGAUCCGUAGAUUUCCGAAUGGGGCAACCCAAUGUAUAGAGAUAUACAUUACCUAUAUAGGAGCGAACGAGGGGAAUUGAAACAUCUUAGUACCCUCAGGAAAAGAAAUCAAUAGAGAUUGCGUCAGUAGCGGCGAGCGAAAGCGCAAGAGGGCAAACCCAGUGCUUGCACUGGGGGUUGUAGGACUGCAAUGUGCAAGAGGUGAGUUUAGCAGAACAUUCUGGAAAGUAUAGCCAUAGAGGGUGAUAGUCCCGUAUGCGAAAAACAAACCUUAGCUAGCAGUAUCCUGAGUAGGGCGGGACACGAGAAAUCCUGUCUGAAGCUGGGUCGACCACGAUCCAACCCUAAAUACUAAUACCAGAUCGAUAGUGCACAAGUACCGUGAGGGAAAGGUGAAAAGAACUGAGGUGAUCAGAGUGAAAUAGAACCUGAAACCAUUUGCUUACAAUCAUUCAGAGCCCUAUGUAGCAAUACAGGGUGAUGGACUGCCUUUUGCAUAAUGAGCCUGCGAGUUGUGGUGUCUGGCAAGGUUAAGCAAACGCGAAGCCGUAGCGAAAGCGAGUCUGAAUAGGGCGCUUAGUCAGAUGCUGCAGACCCGAAACGAAGUGAUCUAUCCAUGAGCAAGUUGAAGCUAGUGUAAGAACUAGUGGAGGACUGAACCCAUAGGCGUUGAAAAGCCCCGGGAUGACUUGUGGAUAGGGGUGAAAGGCCAAUCAAACUUCGUGAUAGCUGGUUCUCUCCGAAAUAUAUUUAGGUAUAGCGUUGUGUCGUAAUAUAAGGGGGUAGAGCACUGAAUGGGCUAGGGCAUACACCAAUGUACCAAACCCUAUCAAACUCCGAAUACCUUAUAUGUAAUCACAGCAGUCAGGCGGCGAGUGAUAAAAUCCGUCGUCAAGAGGGAAACAACCCAGACUACCAGCUAAGGUCCCUAAAUCUUACUUAAGUGGAAAACGAUGUGAAGUUACUUAAACAACCAGGAGGUUGGCUUAGAAGCAGCCAUCCUUUAAAGAAAGCGUAAUAGCUCACUGGUCUAGUGAUUUUGCGCGGAAAAUAUAACGGGGCUAAAGUAAGUACCGAAGCUGUAGACUUGCGCACAACUUAGAUUAUUUAAGUUUAGAAUAUGAGAAACUAAGUUAUAUGUUUAGUUAUAUUUUUACUGAUUUUUAUAGAGUAAAGAUAGAAAUAAAACUUAGUAAAAUCAGUAAAAAUAUUCUUAGACUAAAGUUAAGUAGUUUAAGUUGUGUGCAAGUGGUAGGAGAGCGUUCUAUUUGCGUCGAAGGUAUACCGGUAAGGAGUGCUGGAGCGAAUAGAAGUGAGCAUGCAGGCAUGAGUAGCGAUAAUUAAUGUGAGAAUCAUUAACGCCGUAAACCCAAGGUUUCCUACGCGAUGCUCGUCAUCGUAGGGUUAGUCGGGUCCUAAGUCGAGUCCGAAAGGGGUAGACGAUGGCAAAUUGGUUAAUAUUCCAAUA